CGUCUCAGUUCGGAUUGUAGUCUGCAACUCGACUACAUGAAGCUGGAAUCGCUAGUAAUCGCGGAUCAGAAUGCCGCGGUGAAUACGUUCCCGGGUCUUGUACACACCGCCCGUCACACCAUGGGAGUCGGGAAUGCCCGAAGCCAGUGACCCAAGCGAGAGCAGGGAGCUGUCGAAGGCAGGCCGGAUAACUGGGGUGAAGUCGUAACAAGGUAUC
rnacentral:rRNA from 1 species